rnacentral:lncRNA from 1 species
CAGGAAAAAAGGAGAUCAGGGAAGUUGAAGUGACGCAAUGACAUCCACGUGUACAAGGUCAGAGGCCAGUCUCACAGCGUCCUGCAUAUCCUUGACUUUCUAAGGACCUUUAAGUGCACUGCAGUAACCUCAGUCAAUCUCGAGGAAGCCAUCCAGGAGGGGUUACAGCAUAUAUUCCUGAAAUUCUGGAUGGUGGAAAUCCUUGCCCUCUAAAAGCAGAA